rnacentral:rRNA from 1 species
UACCAGCGCCACAAGUGGGGGCCGUGUUUAUUGGGCCUAAAGCGUUCGUAGCAGGUCAGGUAAAUCUUUUGUGAAAUCGUUGGGCUCAACCUAACGGCGUGCAGAAGACACUGCCAGACUAGAGACCGGGAGGAGUUGGAGGUAUUCUUGGGGGAGCGGUAAAAUGCUAUAAUCCCUAGAGGACCACCUGUGGCGAAGGCGUCCAACUAGAACGGGUCUGACUGUGAGGAACGAAAGCCAGGGGAGCAAACCGGAUUAGAUACCCCGGUA